rnacentral:rRNA from 1 species
GACGAACGCUGGCGGCGUGCUUAACACAUGCAAGUCGAGCGAGGCCCCUCCUUCGGGAGGGUGUCCUAGCGGCGAACGGGUGAGUAACACGUGGGCAACCUGCCCUCAGCUCUGGGAUAACUCCGGGAAACCGGGGCUAAUACCGGAUACGACCUCCACGGGCAUCUGCGGAGGUGGAAAGUUUUUCGGCUGAGGAUGGGCCCGCGGCCUAUCAGCUAGUUGGUGGGGUAGUGGCCCACCAAGGCGACGACGGGUAGCCGGCCUGAGAGGGCGACCGGCCACACUGGGACUGAGACACGGCCCAGACUCCUACGGGAGGCAGCAGUGGGGAAUAUUGCGCAAUGGGCGAAAGCCUGACGCAGCGACGCCGCGUGAGGGACGAAGGUCUUCGGGUUGUAAACCUCUUUCAGCAGGGACGAAGCGAAAGUGACGGUACCUGCAGAAGAAGCACCGGCCAACUACGUG